GCACUCUGGUUUCUCUUCAUCUCAUACAAAUCUUUCGCCUUUUACUAAAGAUUUCCGUGGAGAGGAGCAUGAAUGAGUUCCAUGCAAUUUUUGUGCUUCCCUGCCUUCGGGUGAU
rfam:Lepisosteus oculatus linkage group LG10, whole genome shotgun sequence.